AUGGAGGCCGCGGCGGUGCAGGGCAAUAAGACGAGGCGGCGAGCUGGGCGCGACCGGUGCAUGUUAUGGGUGCGCACUGGACGCGUCGGGACCGCGGGAGUGGACCGCGUCGAGGCGCUGGACCUGGUUGCGCAGAUGCAUACGUGCGCGGCGGGAGCGCGGGCCGGGAGCGCGGGGACGUGGGGAGUGCGCGCGAAGGGCACGGCGGUCGCGGAGACAAGGAGGUCGCGAAGGACCUGCGUGGUGGCGCAGAGGGCGCGACGGCUCGGGGCGACAAUCGUGGAAGGUGCGUGGCACGGAGCCGCGGCGUGGCGCCUGCCAUGGCGGACGCGGAGGCAGCACGCGGUGAGCGUCUGGUGCUGUCGGGCUCGUCGGGCGCGUCGGAUGCACGCGGGACGUGCGGGACGCACUGAUGCGGUCGGGCUCGUCGGGCGCGCCGGGUGCACGCGGGACGUGGGGGUGCGGAGGGACGCCAAGCGUGUGUCGCCGGCGGAGAUGGAGCUCGACGUAUGUCGCCGGGGUCGUGACGGAGCACGGUGCGACCGGCGUCAGUGCGCCAGGUCGGCUCCGUGGCGGUGCGACCGGCGUCGAUGCGCCAGGUCGGGUCCGCGGGCUGGGUCACGGCCAUGA
rnacentral:rRNA from 1 species